CUUGACACUGAACAUUGAGCCUUGAUGUGUAGGAUAGGUGGGAGGCUUUGAAGCGUGGACGCCAGUCUGCGUGGAGCCAACCUUGAAAUACCACCCUUUAAUGUUUGAUGUUCUAACGUUGGCCCCUUACCGGGGUUGCGGACAGUGUCUGGUGGGUAGUUUGACUGGGGCGGUCUCCUCCCAAAGCGUAACGGAGGAGCACGAAG
rnacentral:rRNA from 1 species